rnacentral:rRNA from 1 species
GUCUACGGCCACCUACCCGGAGUGAGCCUGAUCUCAUCUGGUCUUGGAAGCUAAGCAGGGUCAGGCCUGGGUAGCUCUUGGAU